rnacentral:rRNA from 1 species
UACAGAGGUCCCAAGCGUUGUUCGGAUUUACUGGGCGUAAAGGGCGCGUAGGCGGCCAGCACAAGUCAGUUGUGAAAUCUCCGAGCUUAACUCGGAAAGGUCAACUGAUACUGUGCGGCUAGAGUGCGGAAGGGGCAACUGGAAUUCUUGGUGUAGCGGUGAAAUGCGUAGAUAUCAAGAGGAACACCUGCGGCGAAGGCGGGUUGCUGGGCCGACACUGACGCUGAGGCGCGAAAGCUAGGGGAGCGAACGGG